rnacentral:rRNA from 1 species
AAGACCCCUCAAAGAACAUGAGGUUGAUAGGCCUGAGGUGUAAGCGUCGUGAGGCGUUCAGCUGACAGGUACUAAUAGGUCGAGGGCUUGAUCAA